UGUGCCCCCAGCGGGGCUGGUCUGGGCCAAGGUGGGCCCGGUCGGGGCCGUCGUGGCCUUCGCCGUCGUCAUCGCCCUCGUGUGUUACCUGAGCCAGAGCCGCCGCAAGAAGGCGUCGGGAGCCCCCGAGGUGACCCCGGUGGCCCCCCCGGGGCAGGGGGGGGACCCCGAGCGGCGCCCGCUGCAGGCCCGGUGGCUCCGAGGGGCCGUGGGACGGUGGGCGCUGGGGGUUGGGGAGGGGCCGGGAGCACCCCCGGAACCGGCCCCGCCCCCCAAACCCACCCGGGGACCCCCGGAGGAGCCCCCGGAAUACGCCGAGAUCCGGGUCAAGUGACCCCGCCCUGGCCACGCCCACCCCGAUGGACACACCCACCCUGAUGGACACGCCCUCCUGCUCCUGGACAUGCUCACCUUCUGCUGGACACGCCCACCUCCUGCUGGCCACGCCCACCGGGGCCCUGACACACCUGUUGUGACCUGGACACGCCCACCUUCUGCUGGCCACGCCCAUCUCCUCCUGGACAUGCCCACUUUCUGCUGGCCACGCCCCUCUCCUGACCACACCCACCCCUGUGGACACACCCACUGCCUCCUGGCCACGCCCACCACAGGGACCUGCCCAAUGAGGGCCUGGCCCAUCCCCAUCUGGCCCCACCCCCAGGACACAGACACACCCCCAAGGCCCCGCCCCCUCCCGGGCAGGCCCCGCCCCUGUAGUUAUUUAUUGCCCCCCAUUAACGGCCCUUAACGAGCCCCACCCCCAUGACCUUUGACUCCAAGACCCCCCAAAAAUAAACUG